GAUGAACGCUGACCGAAUGCUUAACACAUGCAAGUCAACUUGAAUUUGGGUUUUUAACUUAGGUUUGGGUGGCGGACGGGUGAGUAACGCGUAAAGAACUUGCCUCACAGCUAGGGACAACAUUUGGAAACGAAUGCUAAUACCUACUAUUAUGAUAAUAGGGCAUCCUAUAAUUAUGAAAGCUAUAAGCGCUGUGAGAGAGCUUUGCGUCCCAUUAGCUAGUUGGAGAGGUAACGGCUCACCAAGGCGAUGAUGGGUAGCCGGCCUGAGAGGGUGAUCGGCCACAAGGUGACUGAGACACGGCCCUUACUCCUACGGGAGGCAGCAGUGGGGAAUAUUGGACAAUGGACCGAGAGUCUGAUCCAGCAAUUCUGUGUGCACGAUGAAGUUUUUCGGAAUGUAAAGUGCUUUCAGUUGGGAAGAAACAAAUGACGGUACCAACAGAAGAAGUGACGGCUAAAUACGUG
rnacentral:rRNA from 1 species